GACGAACGCUGGCGGCGUGCUUAACACAUGCAAGUCGAACGGAAAGGCCCAGCUUGCUGGGUACUCGAGUGGCGAACGGGUGAGUAACACGUGGGUGAUCUGCCCUGCACUCUGGGAUAAGCCUGGGAAACUGGGUCUAAUACCGGAUAUGAUCAACUGUCGCAUGGUGGUUGGUGGAAAGCUUUUGCGGUGUGGGAUGGGCCCGCGGCCUAUUAGCUUGUUGGUGGGGUAAUGGCCUACCAAGGCGACGACGGGUAGCCGACCUGAGAGGGGGAUCGGCCACACUGGGACUGGGACACGGCCCAGACUCCGACGGGAGGCAGCAGUGGGGAAUAUUGCACAAUGGGCGCAAGCCUGAUGCAGCGACGCCGCGUGAGGGAUGACGGCCUUCGGGUUGUAAACCUCUUUCACCAGGGACGAAGCGUGAGUGACGGUACCUGGAGAAGAAGCACCGGCCAACUACGUGCCAGCAGCCGCGGUAA
rnacentral:rRNA from 1 species